GAUGAGCCAAAACUGCAGCCCGUUGGUCUGAGGUCUUCCUCACCUGGGCUUGUGCCACCUGAUGUUCAGCCAAAGAAUUCAGGGAAUGCCUGCAAACCAGUUAUGAAGAGGGUAAGCCUCCCAGCGGAACCAGAGUCAGAUAUAACACCUGUUAUAUCCCCUCAUUCCCCUCAUUCCCCUCAGGACCUGUUCAAGGAGGUCCGCAGUAUCCUGAACAGGCAGACGCCUCAGAAGUUCCUCCAGCUGGUGAAGCAGGUGAAGGACUCGCCCAUCGACACGGAGGAGCAGCUCAAAGGAGUCGUGGACCUCCUGUUUGAGAAAGCCAUGGACGAGACCAGCUCAUUGGUGGCCUACGCGAAGAUAUGCAACUGCCUCGCCACGGCAUGUGACCAAAUGAUGAAUGUUUUCUGUUCUUUUGCUGAACCUCUGAACAGCUCACAGUGCCCACCCCUGACAAACCACAAAAGACAGUGAACUUUCGCAAGCUGCUGAUAAGCCGCUGUCUUUGAAUAUAAUCUACAGGAUUAUAUGCGGCUGGUUUCCAUUUCCAAAAUUAUAUAUUCAGAGAAAUGCGUUGUUUGCAGGGAUGAAGAUGUGAUGUGAACUUUUUGUCAGCAGUGUUUUUGACAUUAGUGCAGUGAAGAUCAGUUCAUGUCUCUGCUUUCAUCCCACCAAGAUGUUUUCUUCUGAACGUGUCAGAUAAUUGAUUUAAGAGAUGGAUCACUAUUUCAACUCUAUGGAAGAUAUCGUCACAGAGGGGAAGACGUCCCCUCGGAUACGGUAUAUGUUGCAGGAUACUAUAGACCUGGUUUCGGAACAUGGCAGGAUCCAAAACCCGUUCAGCAGAUCCACAACGAGGCAACGAUUGAGGAUCAGGAGGAGCCAAGGAGCGUGCAGCAGCCACUGCUCUCCGAGGACACCAAGAUACAGCCAAAUGAUGCUCCAACACUGCAGCCCGUUGGUCUGAGGUCUGCCUCCCCUGGGCUUGUGCUGCCUGAAGCCCCCGUGGCUGCACUCCAGCCCCAGGCCUCUAGUCCUGCACAGGUUCCCACUCCUCAACAGAACCAAGGCUCUGAAGCCAGGGGAACUCUGGAAAGUUGAACGGGUUCAAGCAAGAAGCGGAGGAGGCGCAGGAAGCCCAAUAACCAGCUGCAGACAGCUGGUCUGAGGUCUGCCUCACCUGGGCUUGUGCUGCCUGGAGCCCCCGGUGAGAGUGGGGAAGCUCAGGCCACUACUCCCCCUACAGAACCGGAGCUUCCCCUCCCCGCCUCUCUCAGCCCCCCGUCCAUCGUCUAAGACCUCGUCUCCCUACCUGACGG